rnacentral:tRNA from 1 species
GGGAAUGAUGUCCUAUGGAAGGACGGCGAUUUUUCAGAUCGUUUAUGAAGAUUUAGUUUGAACGACUUAUACUCUGUAUAGAGUAUCCUCAGUACGAACUUACACGCUUUUUGCUUGAGCAGGUUCGAUUCCUGUCAUUCCCACCA